ACGAACGCUGGCGGCGUGCUUAACACCUGCAGGUCGAACGCUGAAGCUCAGCUUUUGUUGGGUGGAUGAGUGGCGAACGGGUGAGUAACACGUGAGUAACCUGCCCCCUUCUUUGGGAUAACGCCCGGAAACGGGUGCUAAUACUGGAUAUUCACUGGUCUUCGCAUGGGGGUUGGUGGAAAGGGUUUUUCUGGUGGGGGAUGGGCUCGCGGCCUAUCAGCUUGUUGGUGGGGUGAUGGCCUACCAAGGCUUUGACGGGUAGCCGGCCUGAGAGGGUGACCGGUCACAUUGGGACUGAGAUACGGCCCAGACUCCUACGGGAGGCAGCAGUGGGGAAUAUUGCACAAUGGGCGCAAGCCUGAUGCAGCGACGCCGCGUGAGGGAUGGAGGCCUUCGGGUUGUGAACCUCUUUCGCUCAUGGUCAAGCCGCAACAAUGGUUGUGGUGAGGGUAGUGGGUAAAGAAGCGCCGGCUAACCACGUG
rnacentral:rRNA from 1 species